UACGUAGGGGGGCAAGCGUUGUCCGGAUUUAUUGGGCGUAAAGAGCGUGUAGGCGGCCAGACAGGUCAGCUGUGAAAACUCGAGGCUCAACCUCGAGACGUCGGUUGAAACCGUCUGGCUAGAGUCCGGAAGAGGAGAGUGGAAUUCCCGGUGUAGCGGUGAAAUGCGCAGAUAUCGGGAAGAACACCCGUGGCGAAGGCGGCUCUCUGGGACGGUACUGACGCUGAGACGCGAAAGCGUGGGGAGCCGAACAGG
rnacentral:rRNA from 1 species